rnacentral:rRNA from 1 species
AUGCCGAGGGAGUGCAACCCGUGCAGCGGCAUGCUGGCGCUCUUCAAGGGGCGCCCGAGGGCGCAGCAGCUGUCGCAGCCGCCGAAGCCGACGCUGCUCCGCCGCGCGUUCGGCAGGAUGAAGAGCAACCGCCGGCGCCGGCGCCACCGCUCCAGCAGCUUCAGCUCCGUGCGCGCGGUCUUCUGGCCGCUCAUGUCCAUGGGCUCGGACGUGGACCGCAGCUUCGUCGCCGACCGGCCGCCCAGGAGUUCCUCCGACGACAGCGGCGGCACCGCGGUGCGCGCGCCGUCGCCGUCCCUCGACACGCCCGGCGCCGCGUCGACCACGGCCGCGCGGCUGCUCGCGAUCCAGGCUCAGAUCGGCGAGGCCGCCGCAUCGGCGUCCCCUGCCAAGCAGAGCAGCACGGCAUCUGGCGCCGUGCGCGCCCCGUCGCCGUCGCUGGACGAGCAAGCCGCGUUGACGACGACGGCCGCGCGGGUGCUCGCGCUGCAGGCUCGGCUAGGCUCGGCCGCGGUAUUCGCGUCGCCGACGAAGCCGAUUACCACCGCAGUGCAUCGUCUCAGCGACGUGGCCGCCGCCUGCGGAGACGGCGACGUGGAGGAGGCGUGCAAAGGCUUCGAGAGGCAUCUGAUGGAGAUGCUGGUGGAGGAGGCCAAGGUGGGGGACCUCAUGGACGUCGAGGAGCUGCUGGGAUGCUGGGAGAAGCUCAGGUCGCCGGUGUUCGUCCGGCUCGUCGGCCGCUUCUACGGCGACCUCUGCAUGGACCUCUUCUCCGACCUCGAUGACGACGUGUCAUCCGAGUCGUCCGAUGAGUCGACUGUUUGA